UUUUGCCCAGAGAAGGACAGACUCAGGGGGAAUCUCCUCCAUGUGUACCAAUACCUGAAGGGAGGGUGCAGAGAGGACAGAGGCAGGCUCUUAUCAGUGGUGCCCAGGGACAGGACAAGAGGCACUGGGCACACACUGUUACACAGGAGGGUCUCUCUGAACAUCAGGAAGCACAC